rnacentral:tRNA from 1 species
AGCCCUGUAGUGGUAUUCACGUCAAAAUGCAAGUUUGAAAAAGAGCCCCAAAGGCUCCGGGGCUU